UGGGGAAUAUUGCACAAUGGGCGAAAGCCUGAUGCAGCAACGCCGCGUGAGUGAUGAAGGCCUUCGGGUUGUAAAGCUCUGUCUUUUGGGACGAUAAUGACGGUACCAAAGGAGGAAGCCACGGCUAACUACGUGCCAGCAGCCGCGGUAAUACGUAGGUGGCAAGCGUUGUCCGGAUUUACUGGGCGUAAAGGAUGCGUAGGCGGAUUUUUAAGUGAGAUGUGAAAUACCCGGGCUUAACUUGGGUGCUGCAUUUCAAACUGGGAAUCUAGAGUGCGGGAGAGGAGAAUGGAAUUCCUAGUGUAGCGGUGAAAUGCGUAGAGAUUAGGAAGAACACCAGUGGCGAAGGCGAUUCUCUGGACCGUAACUGACGCUGAGGCAUGAAAGCGUGGGUAGCAAACAGGAUUAGAUACCCUGGUAGUCCACGCCGUAAACGAUGAGUACUAGGUGUAGGAGGUAUCGACCCCUUCUGUGCCGCAGUUAACACAAUAAGUGCUCCGCCUGGGAAGUACGAUCGCAAGAUUAAAACUCAAAGGAAUUGAC
rnacentral:rRNA from 1 species